rnacentral:lncRNA from 1 species
UUGGGUUGGGUUCGGGUUGGUGGGUCAGAAUAGAUUGAUCCAACCCAACAUAUAUAAUAUAUGGGUUGGUGGGUUGGCAGGUCACGGGUUGGCGGGUUGAAAACAUCAACCCAACUCAACCCAUAUAACCCGUAUAAGUAUAUGGGUUCGUGGGUCAGUGGGUCGAACCCAACCGUAUAACCCAUUUAAUAAGCAACAAAUUUUAAAAUGAAAUUAAAAAUUACAAACAAAAUGAAGUCAUAAAGUCUUAAAUAUUCAACAUAAAGUCAUAAACAAGAGUUACAACAACGAGUGAUGUGCGACAGCCGGAGGACGAGAAGACGAGUGGUGUGCAUGCGACACUGCAACAGUCAGUGACUCAAUACCUCAAUCGAUGGAGAUGGGAGAUACGGAGUCGUGAGUUUGGAGACUGAUGAUUGAAUUUCUUUUUGAUUAGGGGAUUCUUAGGGGCUAGGCACGUUAAUUCGACUCGAAGAUGUUUUGCAGUUUUGGAAUUCGAAAAACGAUUAAAUGAUAAUCAAAUAUAUAUAUAUAUAUAUAUANUGUGUACAAUGUCAGCUUCAUCACCAACUUACUAGAAAAUGUUUUUUUUUUUGCGAUUAAAUUAAAUAAAAACAUAAUAAAAUGUUUGACAUUAAUUGAAACCACGUUACAUUAAAACAUAGAAAAUUAAACCUAAAUUAUUAAAAAAACAUUAAAAAAAAUUAAACCUAAAUUACUAAAAAAAACAUAGAAAAUUAAACAUAAAUUACUAAAAAGCAUAAAAAACAUAGAAUCUAGUUGUGAUAUUUGUCUAGAACUUCUUGUUGAAUUUUUAAAAAUGCCCUUAAAUUUUCCGGAUCGAGAUUCGGUUGCGGCACCAUGUUUAAAAUUUGAAGAUCGGUGAGUGUCAUUUUUCGGGUUGGUGUGCGUGCGACACUGCAACAGUCAGUGACUCAAUGCCUCAAUCGAUGGAGAUGGGAGAUACGGAGUCGUGAGUUUGGAGACUGAUGAUUGAAUUUCUUUUUGAUUAGGGGAUUCUUAGGGGCUAGGC